GACGAACGCUGGCGGCGUGCCUAAUACAUGCAAGUAGAACGCUGAAGGAGGAGCUUGCUUCUCUGGAUGAGUUGCGAACGGGUGAGUAACGCGUAGGUAACCUGCCUGGUAGCGGGGGAUAACUCUUGGAAACGCUAGCUAAUACCGCAUAAGAGUAGAUGUCGCAUGACAUUUGCUUAAAAGGUGCAAUUGCAUCACUACCAGAUGGACCUGCGUUGUAUUAGCUAGUUGGUGAGGUAACGGCUCACCAAGGCAACGAUACAUAGCCGACCUGAGAGGGGGAUUGGCCAAACUGGGACUGGGACACGGCCCAGGCUCCUAAGGGAGGGAGCAGGAGGGAAUCUUCGGCAAUGGACGGAAGUCUGACCGAAGAACGCCGCGGGGGUGAAGAAGGGUUUCGGAUCGUAAAGCUCUGUUGUAAGAGAAGAACGAGUGGGAGAGUGGAAAGUGCACACUGUGACGGUAUCUUACCAGAAAGGGACGGCUAACUACGUG
rnacentral:rRNA from 1 species